rnacentral:rRNA from 1 species
UUGAACGCUGGCGGCAGGCCUAACACAUGCAAGUCGAACGGUAGCACAGAGAGCUUGCUCUCGGGUGACGAGUGGCGGACGGGUGAGUAAUGUCUGGGAAACUGCCUGAUGGAGGGGGAUAACUACUGGAAACGGUAGCUAAUACCGCAUAACGUCGCAAGACCAAAGAGGGGGACCUUCGGGCCUCUUGCCAUCAGAUGUGCCCAGAUGGGAUUAGCUAGUAGGUGGGGUAACGGCUCACCUAGGCGACGAUCCCUAGCUGGUCUGAGAGGAUGACCAGCCACACUGGAACUGAGACACGGUCCAGACUCCUACGGGAGGCAGCAGUGGGGAAUAUUGCACAAUGGGCGCAAGCCUGAUGCAGCCAUGCCGCGUGUAUGAAGAAGGCCUUCGGGUUGUAAAGUACUUUCAGCGGGGAGGAAGGUGUUGUGGUUAAUAACCGCAGCAAUUGACGUUACCCGCAGAAGAAGCACCGGCUAACUCCGUGCCAGCAGCCGCGGUAAUACGGAGGGUGCAAGCGUUAAUCGGAAUUACUGGGCGUAAAGCGCACGCAGGCGGUCUGUCAAGUCGGAUGUGAAAUCCCCGGGCUCAACCUGGGAACUGCAUUCGAAACUGGCAGGCUAGAGUCUUGUAGAGGGGGGUAGAAUUUCCAGGUGUAGCGGUGAAAUGCGUAGAGAUCUGGAGGAAUACCGGUGGCGAAGGCGGCCCCCUGGACAAAGACUGACGCUCAGGUGCGAAAGCGUGGGGAGCAAACAGGAUUAGAUACCCUGGUAGUCCACGCCGUAAACGAUGUCGACUUGGAGGUUGUGCCCUUGAGGCGUGGCUUCCGGAGCUAACGCGUUAAGUCGACCGCCUGGGGAGUACGGCCGCAAGGUUAAAACUCAAAUGAAUUGACGGGGGCCCGCACAAGCGGUGGAGCAUGUGGUUUAAUUCGAUGCAACGCGAAGAACCUUACCUACUCUUGACAUCCAGAGAACUUUCCAGAGAUGGAUUGGUGCCUUCGGGAACUCUGAGACAGGUGCUGCAUGGCUGUCGUCAGCUCGUGUUGUGAAAUGUUGGGUUAAGUCCCGCAACGAGCGCAACCCUUAUCCUUUGUUGCCAGCGGUCCGGCCGGGAACUCAAAGGAGACUGCCAGUGAUAAACUGGAGGAAGGUGGGGAUGACGUCAAGUCAUCAUGGCCCUUACGAGUAGGGCUACACACGUGCUACAAUGGCGCAUACAAAGAGAAGCGAGCUCGCGAGAGCAAGCGGACCUCAUAAAGUGCGUCGUAGUCCGGAUUGGAGUCUGCAACUCGACUCCAUGAAGUCGGAAUCGCUAGUAAUCGUAGAUCAGAAUGCUACGGUGAAUACGUUCCCGGGCCUUGUACACACCGCCCGUCACACCAUGGGAGUGGGUUGCAAAAGAAGUAGGUAGCUUAACCUUCGGGAGGGCGCUUACCACUUUGUGAUUCAUGACUGGGGUG